UGUAAUUGGAAUGAUGGUGACCCAAACCCUCACCAGAGUAGCAAUUGGAGGGCAAGUCUGGUGCCAGCAGCCGCGGUAAUUCCAGCUCCAAUAGCGUAUAUUAAACUUGUUGCAGUUAAAAAGCUCGUAGUUGUAUUUUUGCGUUGACGGUUUGACCAUUUGGUUGGUUAUUUCGUUUUCGCUUUUGGGAAUUUCCCUUUUUACUUUGAGAAAAUUAGAGUGUUUCAAGCAGACUUUUGUCUUGAAUACUUCAGCAUGGAAUAAUAGAGUAGGACUUUGGUUCUAUUUUGUUGGUUAUUGAACCUUAGUAAUGGUUAAUAGGAACGGUUGGGGGCAUUCGUAUUUAACUGUCAGAGGUGAAAUUCUUAGAUUUGUUAAAGACGAACUACUGCGAAAGCAUUUGCCAAGGACGUUUCCAUUAAUCAAGAACGAAAGUUAGGGGAUCGAAGACGAUCAGAUACCGUCGUAGUCCUAACCAUAAACUAUGCCGACUAGUGAUUG
rnacentral:rRNA from 1 species